AUUGUAAAAUUGUCGUUCCUUGUGCGCAACGAACUGCAUUAACGUACCCGGGUCAUACACUUCCCAGUGUUUUGACGGCUUCCAGGCUGUGGAAGGACCAACGUGUGCUCGUGGAAACCAAGCAAAGGUUAUCGUUUUCCGCGUCCAGCUAUUAACCAGAAAUGCGGAUAAGCGGGAAUUAUUUGUUGUUAAUUUUGAGCUAGGAUGUUUUGCGUGCCAGUUGAAUGCCUCUUCCGAUGUUCUGGAAGUUUAUAGUCUUUCAAAAUUAUGUGACGGCAGACCGGAUUGUGUUGGAGGAACGGAUGAUAAUCGCGACUACAUUCCCUGGUCGCGUGAAUAUUCGCCCAACUGUGUGCACGGCGUAUGCUUGGUUUAUUCGGCCAAAUCCGAGUGCUUUUGCGACGAUGGAUAGAAGUAUACUGGAUGCGACUGCACCACUCCGGACUGUGGGAGUGUUACAAGUACAAAUCUCGCGUCGGUGGGAUCUGAGUAUGGAAAUUUGCGAUGGCGAUACCGAUGAGGAAACUGAUGAGGAUGGAUGAAGAGAGGAAUGAGAAUGAGGACCUGGGAAGAUGAAGACGAUCAAUCAAAAGCCGAAUUUGAUGAGCGACGAUGCUACCGUCGUAAUGAAGAGGUUCCGGGAAGUCUUACACGAUGAUGGUUCAUUUACAUUAGAACAGCCGGGUAUAAUCCGCGGUUAUGUAAUGAAUUAUUUCUGCGAGUGGAGAACGAUGUCACAAAGAAGGUAUUGUACAAGAACCGAUCACAGUUUGCGUGUACGGGAACACAACAUUUUGGGUCCUUACGUGGACGGCUUGACUGUAGCAGCGGUUGAGUCGUUUGAGAUAUCGAUGAAUGUGCUGUUAAUGUUUUCGCUGUUUUGCGAAACCGAUGGAAAUUUUUACUGGUUACCCUUACCUUAGCGUAGAAAUGCUUAACAAUAAGGAUUAAACCAACCAAAUUCAAACUGCGACAUCACCGUUCUAUGCCGACGAGUGCGUGGCCAAGACUAAUCCAUGCAAACCAAGCCAAUGUGUCAACUUGGCGGGCAGUUUCACCUGCGUGGGUCCGGCCAAUUAUGAUCUUGUGGGCUGGCAGGAAUGUAUAAAAAUCAACCAGUGCAUCACUUUGCAUGUACAAUACUUGUACAAUCAACACUUGCCAGGAGGAUAUGGUUGGAGGAUACACCUGUCUGUGUCCAACGGGCUAUGAAUUAAUUAAUAAUCGCUGUGAAGACGUCAACGAGUGCGCUGAAUCACCCAAUCUCUGUUCCCCGGGAAUGUGCAUGAACAGCGUGGAAGCUAUCAGUGCCGCUGU